rnacentral:rRNA from 1 species
AAUGAACGCUGGCGGCGUGGAUUAGGCAUGCAAGUCGAACGCGAAAGUUCCCUUCGGGGAGCGAGUAGAGUGGCGAAAGGGUGAGUAAUGCUUGGAUGACCUGCCCUCGAGACGGGGACAACAGUUCGAAAGGACUGCUAAUACCCGAUAGUCCGGUUUAGAUGCGUCUAGAUCGGUAAAUGGUGCUUUCCGCUCGAGGAGGGGUUUCAAGUCCUAUCAGCUUGUUGGUGAGGUAACGGCUCACCAAGGCGAUGACGGGUAGCCGGACUGAGAGGUUGGCCGGCCACAUGGGAACUGAGACACUGUCCUGACUCCUACGGGAGGCUGC